rnacentral:lncRNA from 1 species
CUGCCAAAGGUAGACUUGGAGUCACUAUAGACUUGGAAUUUGCUCUUUUCGAGAUACUUGACCAUACUGUCCUCUCGAGCUUUAUAGUUCUCGCUGACUUGUCCCACCAUCAAUUGGGAGUCACUAUAGACUUGGAGUCGAUCUACUUCUAAUUCUUUGAAAAUCUUUAGUCCUGCAAUCAGAGCUUCAUAUUUCGCUCCAUUAUUUAUGCAGGGAACUCGAAGCGCAGCACAUACUCCACAAUA